ensembl:lncRNA
CACACAAGCAAGAGGAAGGCAUAGGAUCCCCUGAAACUAGAGUCGCUGUUGGUUGUGAGCCACCUGACACGGAUACUGGGAGAUGAAUUCUCACCCUCGGCAACUGCAGCAAGGGCCUUAGUCACUCAGCCAUUAUUUCUAAAAGAGUUCUCAUAAGGAAAUCUAAGUCAACCCCCAGCUUUGACAGGUGAAGUCCUCUGGGAGGCUAGCUGUUCCAGGAGCCAGGACAACACUGGAAUGUCCUUCCAAACCAAGACCCAAACAGCUGAGGAGCUCCAGUUACCCAAGAUGAUCAUCAAGACACGCUUAUAGAAAGUGACCGAAGUGAAGAUACAUGCACAUACACUAGCAAGGCGAGUCUAGCCUAAAUCUCUGAUUCAGGAUUUGAGAGAUACAAGGUCUGUUCAAGCCGAAUUAGAAACGCAUGCCCACUAGGCUGUUCUUAUUUUAUCUUGUUUAUGUUUCCUUGUACAUGUUUUUCAAAACUAACUGGGGUACUGGGGGGAAAGGGUCAUUCUUGAACAUGAAAUUUUAAUUGGUUCUAAAAUUUCCAAGAAUAAGUUUUAAAAUUUUUGCUGAGAAAGAGACAGAAGAAUAAAGUCAAGGAGCUCACCUUGGCUAACUUGUGG